rnacentral:ncRNA from 1 species
ACAGCACUAGAUGUAAGACUGGGUGACCUCUUCUAAUGUCCAAUGUCCUUUGUCUUAAGAUUUGGUGCA